rnacentral:rRNA from 1 species
GACGGAGGAUGCAAGUGUUAUCCGGAAUCACUGGGCGUAAAGCGUCUGUAGGUGGUCAAAUAAGUCAACUGUUAAAUCUUGAGGCUCAACCUCAAAAUCGCAGUCGAAACUAUUAGACUAGAGUAUAGUAGGGGUAAAGGGAAUUUCCAGUGGAGCGGUGAAAUGCGUAGAGAUCGGAAAGAACACCAACGGCGAAAGCACUCUGCUGGGCCGACACUGACACUGAGAGACGAAAGCUAGGGGAGCGAAUGGG